UUCGCCCUUUUCCGGUUGAUCCCGCCGGACCUGACUGCUAUCGGAUUGAUACUAAGCCAUGCGAGUCUUUGUAGCAAUACAAGGCAGACGGCUCAGUAACGCGUAGUCAACCUACCCUAUGGACGGGAAUAACCUCGGGAAACUGAGUAUAAUGCCCGAUAGAACACUAUACCUGGAAGGGUUUGUGUUCCAAAUGAUUUAUCGCCGUAGGAUGGGACUGCGGCCUAUCAGUUUGUUGGUGAGGUAAUGGCCCACCAAGACUAUUACAGGUACGGGCUCUGAGAGGAGUGGCCCGGAGAUGGGUACUGAGACACGGACCCAGGCCCUAUGGGGCGCAGCAGGCGAGAAAACUUUGCAAUGUGCGAAAGCACGACAAGGUUAAUCCGAGUGAUUUGUGCUAAACGAAUCUUUUGUUAGUCAUAGAACCACUAACGAAUAAGGGGUGGGCAAGUUCUGGUGUCAGCCGCCGCGGUAAAACCAGCACCUCAAGUGGUCAGGAUGAUUAUUGGGCCUAAAGCAUCCGUAGCCGGCUCUGUAAGUUUUCGGUUAAAUCUGUACGCUCAACGUACAGGCUGCCGGGAAUACUGCAGAGCUAGGGAGUGGGAGAGGUAGACGGUACUCGGU
rnacentral:rRNA from 1 species